rnacentral:rRNA from 1 species
GGUCCCGCCUGCCCAGUGACCAACCACUUAAACGGCCGCGGUAUCCUAACCGUGCAAAGGUAGCGUAAUCACUUGUCCCCUAAAUAGGGACUGGUAUGAACGGCUAAAUGAGGGCCCAACUGUCUCCUUUAAUUAAUCAGUGAAAUUGAUCUACCAGUACAAAAGCUGGUAUAAAUACAUAAGACGAGAAGACCCUGUGGAGCUUAAAAUACUUAUGCCAAAACAAUCCUGCCAAAAAUGACAUAACAUUUUCAGUUGGGGCGACUAAGGAAAUAAACCAAACUUCCAAGCCAAGGGCCUACCCGCCCUGCCACAGACAGACAUGUCAACACCAACACGACCCAGAGCUACUCUGAAUAACGAACCAAGUUACCCCAGGGAUAACAGCGCUAUCUUCUUCAAGAGUCCCCAUCGACAAGAAGGUUUACGACCUCGAUGUUGGAUCAGGACACCCAAAUGGUGCAGCCGCUAUAAAG